rnacentral:misc_RNA from 1 species
AAGUCGUGACAAGUUUCCGUAGGUGAACCUGCGGAAGGAUCAUUAACACGCACAUUAAACCCCCCUGUGCACCUUAAGCUCAGCUUGCAGCCUUGAUAAAAACAGCAAUCCUGGUAAAUCAGUCCGAGAAAAGUCUUUGAUUCAGGACCUCUGUCUAAAAGGAUGCAAUCGAGCGCUGGAUUAAGUGGCUCCCAAGCAGUUAGUAUUCUGAAAGUGUGUAAGGAUAACGCUUUACGAUUGCUGUAGGCGCCGGCGACUCGGCCACUGGGGCUCACGCCCCCUAAUCACGCCCAACAGUUGUAUCUCCGCCACAGCAAGUGCGCCGGAGCUUCGUCCAAUACCAAACAACUGGUAACAAUGGAUAUCUUGGUUCUU